rnacentral:rRNA from 1 species
ACAAGAACGCCCGGGCUUCGGCCUGGUUAUUCAUAACCCUUUGUUGUCCGACUCUGUUGCCUCCGGGGCGACCCUGCCUUCGGGCGGGGGCUCCGGGUGGACACUUCAAACUCUUGCGUAACUUUGCAGUCUGAGUAAACUUAAUUAAUAAAUUAAAACUUUUAACAACGGAUCUCUUGGUUCUGGCAUCGAUGAAGAACGCAGCGAAAUGCGAUAAGUAAUGUGAAUUGCAGAAUUCAGUGAAUCAUCGAAUCUUUGAACGCACAUUGCGCCCCCUGGUAUUCCGGGGGGCAUGCCUGUUCGAGCGUCAUUUCACCACUCAAGCCUCGCUUGGUAUUGGGCAACGCGGUCCGCCGCGUGCCUCAAAUCGUCCGGCUGGGUCUUCUGUCCCCUAAGCGUUGUGGAAACUAUUCGCUAAAGGGUGUUCGGGAGGCUACGCCGUAAAACAACCCCAUUUCUAAGGUUGACCUCGGAUCAGGUAGGGAUACCCGCUGAACUUAAGCAUAUCA